UUAAAAAGCUCGUAGUUGGAUUUCGGAGUGGGCCAGUUGGUCCGCCGCAAGGUGUGUUACUGACUGGUUUGCUCUUCUUCGCAAAGACUGCGUGUGCUCUUUGUUGAGUGUGCGUAGGAUUUACGACGUUUACUUUGAAAAAAUUAGAGUGUUCAAAGCAGGCUAUUGCUUGAAUACAUGAGCAUGGAAUAAUGGAAUAGGACUUUAGUCCCAUUUUGUUGGUUUCUAGGACCGAAGUAAUGAUUAAGAGGGACAAUUGGGGGCAUCCGUAUUUCGUUGUCAGAGGUGAAAUUCUUGGAUUUAC
rnacentral:rRNA from 1 species